rnacentral:rRNA from 1 species
UACAGAGGGGGCAAGCGUUGUUCGGAAUUACUGGGCGUAAAGGGCGCGUAGGCGGCCUUCUAAGUCGAACGUGAAAUCCCCGGGCUCAACCCGGGAACUGCGUCCGAUACUGGAAGGCUUGAAUCCGGGAGAGGGAUGCGGAAUUCCAGGUGUAGCGGUGAAAUGCGUAGAUAUCUGGAGGAACACCGGUGGCGAAGGCGGCAUCCUGGACCGGCAUUGACGCUGAGGUGCGAAAAGCGUGGGGGAGCAAACAGG